rfam:Moniliophthora roreri strain MCA 2952 kmer90.93966, whole genome shotgun sequence.
GGCUUCCUGGCGCAAUGGUAGCGCGUUUGGCUUCGAUUACCAAGCGUACCAAAAGGUUGCAGUUUCGAGUACUGCGGAGGUCA